AGAGUUUGAUCAUGGCUCAGAACGAACGCUGGCGGCGUGGAUAAGACAUGCAAGUCGAACGGGAUUUUCUUUAGUAGCAAUACCGAAGGAAAUCUAGUGGCGAACGGGUGCGUAACACGUGGGCAAUCUGCCUUAAAGUGGGGGAUAGCUCGGCGAAAGCCGAAUUAAUACCGCAUGUGAUCAGGGGAGACAUCUUCCCGAAAUCAAAAGUGGCGCAAGCUACUGCUUUUUGAGGAGCCCGCGGCCUAUCAGCUUGUUGGUGAGGUAAUGGCUCACCAAGGCUUUGACGGGUAGCUGGUCUGAGAGGACGACCAGUCACACUGGAACUGAGACACGGUCCAGACACCUACGGGUGGCAGCAGUCGAGAAUUUUUCUCAAUGGGGGAAACCCUGAAGGAGCGACGCCGCGUGGAGGAUGAAGGUCUUCGGGUUGUAAACUCCUGUCAUUUGGGAACAAGUUGGACGCAGUAACUACGCGUCCAUUGAUAGUACCAGAAGAGGAAGAGACGGCUAACUCUGUGCCAGCAGCCGCGGUAAUACAGAGGUCUCAAGCGUUGUUCGGAUUCAUUGGGCGUAAAGGGUGUGUAGGUGGCGCCGUAAGUCGGGUGUGAAAUCUCGGGGCUUAACUCCGAAACUGCAUUCGAUACUGCGGUGCUUGAGGACUGGAGAGGAGACUGGAAUUCAUGGUGUAGCAGUGAAAUGCGUAGAGAUCAUGAGGAAGACCAGUGGCGAAGGCGGGUCUCUGGACAGUUCCUGACACUGAGACACGAAGGCCAGGGGAGCAAACGGGAUUAGAUACCCUAGUAGUCC
rnacentral:rRNA from 1 species